rnacentral:miRNA from 1 species
CAUGGCACUGCUGAAGGUUCG